AGAGUUUGAUCAUGGCUCAGAGCGAACGCUGGCGGCAGGCUUAACACAUGCAAGUCGAGCGGGCGUAGCAAUACGUCAGCGGCAGACGGGUGAGUAACGCGUGGGAACGUACCUUUUGGUUCGGAACAACACAGGGAAACUUGUGCUAAUACCGGAUAAGCCCUUACGGGGAAAGAUUUAUCGCCGAAAGAUCGGCCCGCGUCUGAUUAGCUAGUUGGUGAGGUAACGGCUCACCAAGGCGACGAUCAGUAGCUGGUCUGAGAGGAUGAUCAGCCACAUUGGGACUGAGACACGGCCCAAACUCCUACGGGAGGCAGCAGUGGGGAAUAUUGGACAAUGGGCGCAAGCCUGAUCCAGCCAUGCCGCGUGAGUGAUGAAGGCCCUAGGGUUGUAAAGCUCUUUUGUGCGGGAAGAUAAUGACGGUACCGCAAGAAUAAGCCCCGGCUAACUUCGUGCCAGCAGCCGCGGUAAUACGAAGGGGGCUAGCGUUGCUCGGAAUCACUGGGCGUAAAGGGUGCGUAGGCGGGUCUUUAAGUCGGGGGUGAAAUCCUGGAGCUCAACUCCAGAACUGCCUUUGAUACUGAAGAUCUUGAGUUCGGGAGAGGUGAGUGGAACUGCGAGUGUAGAGGUGAAAUUCGUAGAUAUUCGCAAGAACACCAGUGGCGAAGGCGGCUCACUGGCCCGAUACUGACGCUGAGGCACGAAAGCGUGGGGAGCAAACAGGAUUAGAUACCCUGGUAGUCCAA
rnacentral:rRNA from 1 species